rnacentral:rRNA from 1 species
UACGUAGGGAGCAAGCGUUGUCCGGAAUCAUUGGGCGUAAAGCGCGCGUAGGUGGCUUCGUAAGUCCGUUGUGAAAGUCGAAGGCUCAACCUUUGAAAGCCGAUGGAUACUGCGGAGCUAGAGUACGGAAGAGGCGAGUGGAAUUCCUGGUGUAGCGGUGGAAUGCGCAGAUAUCAGGAAGAACACCUAUGGCGAAGGCAGCUCUCUGGGACGGUACUGACGCUGAGACGCGAAAGCGUGGGGAGCGAACAGG